rnacentral:rRNA from 1 species
GCUUUUGUACACACCGCCCGUCGCUACUACCGAUUGAAUGAUGUAGUGAGGUCUUCGGACUGGUACGCGGCAUCGACUCCGUCGUUGCCGAUGUUACCGGAAAGAUGACCAAACUUGAUUAUUUAGAGGAAGUAAAAGUCGUAACAAGGUUUCCGUAGGUGAACCUGCGGAAGGAUCAUUA